CUCUGUGAAGACCAAUACAAGUAUGUCCUUGAAGCUCAGAUUGGCUACAAAACUGAGCAGGCAAUUUGGAUAAUGUCUACAAUGAUGACACUGGAUUGCAAUUCCACAAUGUUGUCAUUUGGCACAGGUUGACAUGGUGGAUUCUCAGCCAAGUGGUUACAUGGGAGCAAGAUCCAAACUACAACUCAGAUAAUGCAUCUCUCUCUGGCUCACAAUUUGUCAACAGGAACUAUUAAGAUCCUUACAGAUGUCAAGACAAUGGCUUGAAUCUUCCGAUCACCACCGGAUUACCACUCUGCUCUUGCUUUUCUGCUCCGCAUUUCUGGCUGGGAUUUCUGGUCCCAGUUUCUGCAGAAAUACAGACCGUACCUAAAAUAUAACUGCUUCUUCGUAGUGCUGGAUCAUCGGAGCAAGGCAA